ACACAAUCAAGAUACUAUCAGCAGACAGAAGUCAAUUAUAUAAAAGCCAGUACCAAAAAUACCUGUUUGGCAGAAGUGGUAUCUUACUUGCACUUUUGUUCUUUGCUUCCUGUCAGAUCUACUUAGAGACAUGCCAUGUUCCUGUAUCACCUUCUGAACCUGUUAAACAGCACUCCUCAUGUUAGCAUUUGAAAUUUUGCAUACAGUAUCUUCAUUAAACUUCUAAUAUGAAUAAUAUUAGUGUCCUUUUAAAGAUGAGAUAGAAACAGAUUAUGAUGUGUUUAAAGUCAGGACUUCCUGCUGGAGUAGAAUACAGAACUCCAUCCUUGAGUUUUAAAAGAAAGACCACUUUAGUUGUGUUUUGAUUUUUUUUUUUUUAACAUUAUUUUGAGCUGGGCUUUUAACAAUUAAUACAAAAAAAUACGACAUAAUCCAGAAUAGUUGUUUAACACUGGCAUUACAUAUUUGUCCUGUCAUUCAAGAAUUAAAGAUAAACUCAGUCACAGAAAAUAAAUUCUGGUUUCAGUUCUGUUACUGAGAAAUGACUGGAAUCACUUUUUUAAUCAGAAGAUAAUGUGAAACUAUAAAUAAUUGUAUGCGUAUCAAACACCAGAAUGUCUUUGAAAAUUAUAGUGGCUUCUUGACAUAGACUUGGGGAUACUUCAUGAUCAUUAUAAUUGGAAAGUUUCUCUUAGUAUCCACUUAAGUAAACCUAUAUUUGUAGCAAAGACAGGCUAGAGAAACUUUCCAACUAUAAGGGUAGUGAUACACUAAAAUAUGCUUCCCAUGGGAGUUGUUAAAUUUCCAUUAUAGAAGUUUUAAGAAGAGGUUUAUGAAACAUCUCAUAGGGAUGGACUGUAGUAUAUUUCAUAUUGCCUGUGUGCAGAGAUGGGUGAUCUUUUGAAAUCUCUUCCAGAUCUACAUUUCUCUGAUUCUUUAUCUAAAAUACUUAGUAUCCACUAAGAGCCUUUCAGAAUAUUUAAAGACAUCCAUGAUGUUUGAUUUAUGAUGGGGAUAUAAAGUUAUAUUCUAUGAGCUAAACUAAAAAAACAGAUCCCAGAAAUAUAAAAUCAAAGACAUGGAAAAUGGUUGCAAUAAGUAUAUUUGGUCUUGGAUUUUAUUAAUGAUGUCAGAGUCACAAUAGUCAGAUUUGAUUUAUGCUGCUAAAGAUAACCUCUCAUUCCUUGGUUUCAUUUGUAUGAAGUUGCCACAGCAGGUAAAAAGACAUUAUUUAUGUCGAGGAAAAACAAAGAAUAGCAAGGAGCUAAGGAAACCAAGACUCAAUUUACUGUUCUUCUGGGAUGCACUGCCUUUCUUUCUACCAAUUUUGGUAGAAUUUUUUUGUGACUUGUGCUCAGACCUUUAUUUGUCCUUGAUUUAGCUUAUCAUAUCUAGUGCUUACCAAACUUAUACUUCAAAAUCAGUUUAUACUGAAAAAUAACUCAUAAAGCUCAUUUCAGACUGUCUUCUAGCUUUGUCCUCUUGAUGUAAAAAGCAGAGAUCUGAGCUCCCCAAAAUUUGUAAGUAGUUCACUUUUUAAAAUGUGCUUCCAUUUUAGUUUCUUGCAAUGUGCCACAGUUAAGGUUACUGCUCAAUUUCUAUGUAAGCUCCUCUGACUAAAUAUUGCAAUGUUUAAAGGGGAACUAAUCUAUUUCUGUUUUUCAUGUGCAGUUAUCUAUCAAGAGUAUUUUCCCCUGAAAGAUGAAAGAUAAUGCUCACAGCUCUGUCAGAUAGAACAGCUUAAAAGCCUUACCACAGUUUCCUGAUGAGAUUGGAAUAUUGUUUCAAGCAGGAUUUGGCUGCAGAGUACAAGUAUAGUUUAUGCUAUAAUUGUCAGUAAGCUGCAGUAUUCAUCAUAGACCUUUGAUGGCUUUGGGAAAUUAGCUGCACUGUCUUUGGUAAAGGAGGAGGGAUAGAAAAGGGACAGUUUCAAAGAGAGUCAUGUUGUCUUAGGGAUGUACUUUUUUCCUCAGUAAAUUACAUAAACUGCACCAGAGAGAGAACAGCUUGUGCACAAAUUAAUGAGGCAUUAUUUUGAAGUAUACCAGAAGACUCCAAAACAGCAGAACCUUUGCCUGAUAAUCUGAAAACUGAACUAUUUGAUGUCAACUUUGGAGUACUUCAUAGCUGUCUAUCCCCUUGAUCCCCUUAAUAGAAGUUGAUAUUACCAAGAAAGACAGCUGUUUUAGCUUCGUCUUCUUAAGUAUAAUGAUCCAUACUAUUUCUAGAACUGAAGAAAAAUGGCAUGUGCAGUUCAAAGAAGUUUUCUUCUUCAUUCUAUGCUCCUGGCUAUGAAUCUUGGCUCUUAUGUGACCUUUCAAGGGACUUGCUCACCUCUUACCUGCUCCCCUGAUGGGGCAUCUUGGUUUCAAGAUACUGUGAAUUCUAGCACCUAUAAAGGAGAUUGGUAAGUAAUAAGACCUGGAG